rnacentral:lncRNA from 1 species
AUGCCUCGGAGGCACAAGAACAAGUCCCAUGCCUGGGGGAAACGCCACCAGGUCCGGCGGAACACUCAGAUGGCCCAGGCUAGUGCUGCUGCAGCCCCAAAGGAGGAGUGUCCCUCCUCCCCCUCUUCUGCCCAUCAGGGUUCUCCCCUGAGCUCCCCUGCUACUGAAGAUCACCAGGAGCUUCAGGGAGCCAUGGCCCCUAGCUCUCCAGAUGCAGGACCUUCCUGUGCAGGAUCUGAAGGUGCCCAGGGUCCAGAGGAGGAAAGUGCAGGUGCCUCCCAGGCAGACCCUGCCACUCAGAGCACUCGCAAAGAUCCUCUGGCCAGGAAGGCCAAGAUACUGGUGGAGAUCCUGCUGGAGAAGUACACCAAGAAGGAGGCCAUCACGCAGAAUGCCCUGAUGAAAACUGUCAGCAGGAAGUACAGGCAGCACUUCCCUGAGAUCCUCAGUACAGCCUGUGAGCACGUGGAGCUGGUCUUUGGCCUGGAGAUGAAGGAAGUCGACCAUAGCAGGAACAUCUACACCCUCAUCAGCAAGCUCAACCUCGGGGGAAACGAUUGUCCGAGUGGUGAGGGGGAGCUUCCCAAGUCCGGUCUCCUCAUGGUGCUCCUGGGGGUCAUCUUCAUGAAUGGUAACCGCGCCACCGAGGAGGAGAUCUGGGAAUUCCUCAGUAUGUUGGGGAUCUAUGCUGGGAGGAGGCACUGGAUCUUUGGGGAGCCCAGAAGGCUCAUCACCAAAGAUCUGGUGCAGAAGGAGUACCUGAACUACCGCCAGGUGCCCAAUAGUGAUCCUCCCCGCUAUGAGUUCCUGUGGGGCCUGAGAGCUUGUGCUGAGACCAGUAAGAUGAAGGUACUGGAGGUUCUAGCCAAGUUCCAAGGUAGGGUCCCUAGUUCCUUCCCAGACCUCUAUGAGGAGGCUCUGAGAGAGCAGGCGGAGAGAGCAGGGCUGAGAGGUGCGGCCAUGGCUCCAACCAUGGCUGAGGCCUGUGCUCCUUCCAGGGCCAAGUCCCGCAGCUCCUCCCUCAUCUAG